rnacentral:rRNA from 1 species
GAUGAACGCUGGCGGCGUGCCUAAUACAUGCAAGUCGAGCGAACGGACGAGAAGCUUGCUUUUCUGAUGUUAGCGGCGGACGGGUGAGUAACACGUGGAUAACCUACCUAUAAGACUGGGAUAACUUCGGGAAACCGGAGCUAAUACCGGAUAAUAUUUUGAACCGCAUGGUUCAAAAGUGAAAGACGGUCUUGCUGUCACUUAUAGAUGGAUCCGCGCUGCAUUAGCUAGUUGGUAAGGUAACGGCUUACCAAGGCAACGAUGCAUAGCCGACCUGAGAGGGUGAUCGGCCACACUGGAACUGAGACACGGUCCAGACUCCUACGGGAGGCAGCAGUAGCGAAUCUUCCGCAAUGGGCGAAAGCCUGACGGAGCAACGCCGCGUGAGUGAUGAAGGUCUUCGGAUCGUAAAACUCUGUUAUUAGGGAAGAACAUAUGUGUAAGUAACUGUGCACAUCUUGACGGUACCUAAUCAGAAAGCCACGGCUAACUACGUG